GUAACCAAGCUUAACAUUCAGCAUCAUGUCAAGCAUAAAUGAACUGGCAAACAAUCUAGAUAUAUAUACAUGCUAGCUUUUAUAAUUUCCUCAUGUAGGGCAUUUUUACAUCUAGAUGUUUUCAAACAUUCAAAAUACCAUGGAUGCUGAGAUAAUGAUAAUAUACAAACACAUGAGAUAUAUAUACGUCAAGUACAAAAGAUCCUAUUCAUAUUCACUCUUGCCGUGCUAAAUUAGCAAAAAUCAAGGUCUCUGCUAGACUGUCACCUCUGAACUGGGCGAUCAUUCUGUGAAGCACCAUUGUUGCGAAAAUCUUCCCUUAGUCUUAUUCUUGGGAUUAUGAUGGGUUUGCAACAGAGAAGAGCAAAANACC
rnacentral:lncRNA from 1 species